CUCAGGUAUUCAGGCCCCAAGUCCAGUCUGCUUUCUUUUCAACCACGAUGCUUCUAGAGAAUGGGAUCACCAAGGAAGGUAGAGUUGGCUUUGCAUUUCUUACCUGGGCAUUCAUCUAAUUAAUUCCCAUGCCUUUUUCUAGCUGCCCUUGGGACGAGGAACCAAGUAAACAUUUUGCCUCCUCACACCAGCCACUGCAGCUGAAUUCCAACAGUCCAGAAGGGAAAAAGCAUCCAGAAAUCAAUCAGAGAGCAUUAACAGACUGUGCUUGUUAAUAGUCUGACAACAAACAGUAAAUCCUCCUCUCAGCUUAGACUUUCUGUGCUGGCCCAGCAGGCUCAGUUUCCUGGGGGGAAAUGGAGAAGCAGAGAGAAUUGUUCCUGAGAAGAAAGUCAGGCACAGCCUCAGAGAACCCAACAGCAACAAGGAUGCCUCCUCGUCAAAGGCUGGUCCAGGUUCAUUCACAUGGUGAUGGUCUCAGAAUUCCCAACAGCAGCAAGAGAGGACGAGUUCCAAUGCCCAAGCAUCUUUGAAGUCCUCGCUUAUGUCAUGCUUGCUAUUCUUGGCCAAUGAGUCGCAAGGAGGCAAGAAAAAAUUGAGGGCUGUGACUGCAGCAAUCUACCACAAUUUCUUUCAAAGAAAAUGCUCGACGUGACCUACUAAAUUUAUCUCAUGACCUACAAAUGGAUCAGUACCUGCCCACUGAAAGAUACCGCUUUCUAUCAGACCCUUUUCAAGCUAUUCAAUAGGAUUUAUCUUUUUUUUCCUUUUAUUUCCAGAAGAUUGGACAAUGUCCUAUGGGUAGUAGGUGCUCAAAAUAUAUUUUAUGAAUGGGCAUGAGAAACUGGAUGUGCCAGUAAAGAAGCUUGCCUGACUUGGGAUGGACACUCAGUAAGAGAAGGUUGGCUGCUUGAAGUAGCGUUAGAAUAUGGCAGCUCUAAAAUGCCAAGCAAGGAGACAUUCCUAAUUCAGCUCUCAGGAUGAAGGCUGAAGCUACCAGAUUCUCAGUCAGGCCUACUUCUUUUUAGGACCUCUCAUAACUACCUUUCCCCUCCGGUUGCUUCAACCAUUAUCAACCAAGUUAAAACUGCUAGACCUCCCUAUCUAACAAGGGCAUAGGACAAAAAGGAAGUUGUACACUAUGGUGCUUAAAGAUGGUUGGGAGAAAAAAUCAUGGGAUUUCAAGAAGUUGUGAUUCUGUAAAUUUUCUUAAAGAAACGUUUUGUUCUUUUGGAGAAAACAUGAAACCACGUGGGCAUGAAAUCAAAGAAAGCUUUUUAUUAAAAGCCCAGAAAAGCUAGCUUUUGGUUAAUGGAAUUAAGCAAACUGUAAUUCGUUGCCAUUGAGAAGUCAAGAGACUCUUGGAAGGUGAGAGAUCGAGAAACAAGUCUGCUGUAUUCUAGUCAAGCUGUGACCUGCUGUCUAUUGUAGGAUAAGCUACUGUCCCUCUCUAUGCCUCAGUUUCCUCCUCUGUAAAGGGAAGUGGUGAGACUGAAUGAGCGCGAUGUUCCCUUCCAGCGAGCAAGUUCUGAU
rnacentral:lncRNA from 1 species